rnacentral:rRNA from 1 species
AUCUGCCCAGUAGCGGGGGAUAGCUCGGGGAAACUCGAAUUAAUACCGCAUACGCCCCACGGGGGAAAGGCCGGGAUCUUCGGACCGGUCGCUACUGGAUGAGCCUGCGUUGGAUUAGCUUGUUGGUGGGGUAAAGGCCUACCAAGGCGACGAUCCAUAGCUGGUCUGAGAGGAUGAUCAGCCACACUGGGACUGAGACACGGCCCAGACCUCUACGGAGGGCAGCAGUGAGGAAUCUUGCGCAAUGGGCGAAAGCCUGACGCAGCCACGCCGCGUGUCGGAAGACGGCCCUAUGGGUUGUAAACGACUUUUAUCAGGGAAGAACGAGGGGGUUUUGAUCUCCUGUGACGGUACCUGAUGAAUAAGCACCGGCUAACUCCGUGCCAGCAGCCGCGGUAA